GAUGAACGCUGGCGGCGUGCCUAAUACAUGCAAGUCGAGCGAACAGACGAGGAGCUUGCUCCUCUGACGUUAGCGGCGGACGGGUGAGUAACACGUGGAUAACCUACCUAUAAGACUGGGAUAACUUCGGGAAACCGGAGCUAAUACCGGAUAAUAUAUUGAACCGCAUGGUUCAAUAGUGAAAGACGGUUUUGCUGUCACUUAUAGAUGGACCCGCGCCGCAUUAGCUAGUUGGUAAGGUAACGGCUUACCAAGGCAACGAUGCGUAGCCGACCUGAACGGGUGAUCGGCCACACUGGAACUGAGACACGGUCCAGACUCCUACGGGAGGCAGCAGCAGGGAAUCUUCCGCAAUGGGCGAAAGCCUGACGGAGCAACGCCGCGUGAGUGAUGAAGGUCUUCGGAUCGUAAAACUCUGUUAUUAGGGAAGAACAAAUGUGUAAGUAACUAUGCACGUCUUGACGGUACCUAAUCAGAAAGCCACGGCUAACUACGUG
rnacentral:rRNA from 1 species